rnacentral:rRNA from 1 species
GCCAGACUCCUACGGGAGGCAGCAGUGGGGAAUAUUGCACAAUGGGGGAAACCCUGAUGCAGCGACGCCGCGUGAGUGAAGAAGUAUUUCGGUAUGUAAAGCUCUAUCAGCAGGGAAGAAAAUGACGGUACCUGAUUAAGAAGCCCCGGCUAACUACGUGCCAGCAGCCGCGGUAAUACGUAGGGGGCAAGCGUUAUCCGGAUUUACUGGGUGUAAAGGGAGCGUAGACGGCGGGGCAAGUCUGGAGUGAAAGGCCGGGGCCCAACCCCGGGACCGCUCUGGAAACUGCCCGGCUGGAGUGCGGGAGAGGUAAGCGGAAUUCCUAGUGUAGCGGUGAAAUGCGUAGAUAUUAGGAGGAACACCAGCGGCGAAGGCGGCUUACUGGACCGUGACUGACGUUGAGGCUCGAAAGCGUGGGGGGCAAACAGGAUUAGAUACCCGAGUAGA